CCUUAGAGACCAACUAAGUUUGUUCUUGGUAUAAGCUUUCAUGUGCAUGCACACAAAAGCUUAUACCAAGAACAAACUUAGUUGGUCUCUAAGG
rnacentral:miRNA from 1 species